UAUAGUAGAGGCGCGGGAUUUAAGAGUAGUCUGGAUGAUGCAUGUGGUUGCAUAUGAUUCCCGAUGAAAGGAGAGACCGCCGAAGUUGUGAAUGUGCCAUGAUGUUCACUGCUGGUUGUGCAGUUAAUAGCUGUAUGACUGUCAUCGAUAUUUAGGAUUUUGAAUUUAUAUUCUGAUCAGGGUUUUGAUUUAGGAUUUUGAUUUAGAUUUUUGAUUUAGAUGGAGAGCUACUU
rnacentral:ncRNA from 1 species